rnacentral:lncRNA from 1 species
GAUGCAAAGAACUUGUUUGGUUCUGAAAGGCAACAUGUUAGCACUUAGCCUCAAAAGAGGACCCAGGUUUGGGUGACCACAGUCUGGAGGAAGGGACUAGACCUUUCUCAAUAUGUCUAUUGAAGGUAAAUUGUAAAGGCACCUUAACCCAUAGCAUGCCUGGUUUCUGAUCCUCUUUAAAGGGUGCAAAACCUCAUCUGUCUUCUGUAUCAAAAGCAUGAGCUUCAGGUGCUGGUUCCCAUGUCAGUAGCCCUGACUGGCUGCUGCAGCCUUGCAGUACCACAGCAAACUCAGGACUCCAGAGACAGUCGUGCAGGCAGGGUAGGAUGGACCAAGGAUCCACUUUCAGCUUCUCAACUUGGAUGUGGACCAUACAAGAAGCCACUUUUAGUUUCACAAAGCAGCACCCUGAUGGCUUCCCCCAGCAUCCAAUGCAGACUAAAGCUUGGCUUUGAACUUAGGAACUAUUACCUCUUGCUGCUAGGGAAGUAUAAUAAAGCAUUUAAAAGGAAAUAAAGAGUGAUGAACAGCCUUCAAAAUUACACAAUUGAAAUCUAAUAGAAAAUAUGCUUCUGGUGUCAGAUACUUAAUGAUUAUAACACCACCAGAGAAAUAUAUGUUUAAUGAAAUUAAGCAUUUUAAUAGAUUGAAGAGGCUAACCUGACCUGGCAGUCAUGAAAGAGAAAGCGUGUUUUUAAUGCAAAGCAGUCUUGUCAAAGGAUUUACUUUCAGAACACUCUUUUUGUAAGAAAAAAAAAAUACUACUGCUAAGAAAACCUCAUGUAUUAUCAUUCUAAAUAUAAAUCUGCUUUCUGGAGGAAUACUGAGUAAUCUGUUCUGAUCUUUAGGAUGAAAUAUUAUUUUUACUUCAGCUCAAAACAACACUCAACUCUUUAAUGGUCCAAAUUAAAAUAAUCAUCUUGCCCAUUGCAGACAGAAAGAACUUUUCUAAACCAACAUUACAAAAAUUGGGUUUUUAUUUCAGGAAGAAUUUAAGAAUCAUGUUUCUCUUUAGAUUGAGUACUUGAUGAUGUUAAAAAAAAGAAAAUAUAACAGAUGAGUGGUUAUCUUGUCAUAACCUAAAUGUGCUUUAUUCUCUGAGGAUGACAUCACAUCCAAAUAACUUUUCAGAUGCCCUGAGCAAUGCAGCAAACCAGUCAAGGUCCCCCAAAAAAAUUCAAGUGUAUUCACCAAACAGGUCACCAUGGGACUGGGAUCAUGCUGUGAAGAUGGUAAAAAUCUAUGUUUUAUUUCUGUGCAAGUGUUAAUUGCAGGGACUCUCCUGCUUUUUAAGUUUUUCUAAAGCUGAUACCUGCCAAGAAACACUGCUCCACGAUCAGCCAGACUGAUAAAGUCUGAUAAAGACUGAUAAAGCCUAAAGUUCCAUGAGGAUCCACCUCCCUCCUUGAGCCAUGCUGCAGACUUUCUAGAGAGCCCCCAUCUCCUCCUCCUCCUUCUCUUCUCCCAUGCUGCAGACUAUGCUCAGGUCUCCCCCACUGCCUUCUCCCAGCAGUGGAUGCCCUUCCUCAUACUAGAGAAUGAGGAACAAGCUGAUAUCACAGCUUCCUUCAGCACAAGCCUCUGUGAAUUUGUCUGUGAGGGACACUGCUCUUCGUUCACAGGAUGUUUUGUCCUUAGAAAUAUUUCACAACUAUGAAAGAAGAAAAAGGAUCCAUGCCAUGAGCUCUGUCUGCAAACUCUCUCCCACUUCUUGGCAGUGGAAUUUAUUAGUGGUGCUUUUGCACCAUCAUGCUCUCCCAGGAUGAAAUGAUCAGUUGUUUUAAUUGUUUCUAAUUAAUACACAAUUUAAAAAAAUUUUCCACAUCAAAUAGAUUUUUACAUUCUUCAGUAGUGCCAGAUGGACAGAGCCAUCUGUCAGAGAUUAACAUUCACUAAAGGACAGCUAGUAUUUAAAAAAUUAACAAUAAUGUAACAUUUUUAAAAUUUUUUGCUUCGUACUCUGGUUGAACAAACAAUUGCAUGUGAAGCUGGUCUUAUUUUUAAAGAUCAUCAUUUGUGAAUGCUUUUAUAGUACUUCACUGAAUUUGAAACACAAGAUCGUUGGAUGAUUAGCCCAUUUUUACAGCUUGGGGACAUUUCUGAGGGUAUCAGAUCUGGGGUGAUGCUGCAUAAAAAAAUUGGAGAACUAGAAACCAUACAGCUAUUGACAAGUCAUGGAUUGCUGCAGGAAAGAGUAAAGCCCUGAAAUGAAGUGUCGUUUCCUUUGAAUUGAGAAGAAGAACCUGGAUAAAAGUUAUCAAAAGCAUUGUUUAAAUGAUGGACAUUGCCAUUACUCCAGGCUCCCUUCUGGAGUUCGUUUGUAUUUUUUCUCCUCGUUGUUCCACCACCAGCCAAAGCUUUGCACCGAGGGGUCCCAAGUCCAAGCCUUGGCACAAAGGGCUGAGGGAGAGGCCUUUUGGCUGUCACAGCCCACUCUGGUGCCACACCCCUUGGGCCACUGCCUGCCUUGGGGACUGCUCCCCCAAGGCUGCCCUGCCAGCCUCAGCCCAUUUUGCCAGCCCUGCAGCAGUGCUUGGAGCCUUGCAGAAGCUGCCCACCCAGCUGGUGUUACAGCCAGCAGUAGGUACGUUAUCCUCUGUGGAGGGGAAAGCAGAAGGUAAAUCCCCAGCUUUCCAAAAGCUCAGCCUGCUUUUUCAGUGUUAGCAGCCCAGGGUAAAAGAUCUUCCUGGCACCAACAUGCUGAAGAGGUUUGGCUUGUUAGGUGCAGGGACUUGUGUAGUCUCUGCAUGGUGUAACACUUUAUGGGCACUGGAGAUAGGACUUGCUGAACCAGGUUGUCCUUUCCUUCCCACAUUUCUAUCACUUAAAUCUAUCAAUGUCAAAUUUGUCUAAUUUUUUUUUUUCUAUUUCCACUGGAGGGAUGAAGCCAAUAAAAGACUGAGAUUUCAGGGUGCUUAAAAAAAGAGAAAGCUACCUAAACUUAUUUUAAAAGACCAUUUCAAUAAAUAAACAAUUUUCAAACUUGUUGCAUCUAAUAAAAGACCCAAUAGGUAUUUCCACCACUGGCAGAAACUACCUGAGAAUUUGGGGUAAGUGACCAAGGUUUCACAAAACUGAUCAAGGGCAAAUGGAGAGACUGGGUUAAUAAAGGAGGAACAGAGAUGCAAGACAACUGCAGACCAGUUGGCUGAUCUUUAGAACCCACAAAAACACUCUAAGAACAAACCAGGCUACUUGUACAUACAGGAAAGGUGCCAAGCAGAUGAGUGAUGGCAAAUAAAGAUUAAUGAGGAAAUAACAUUUCAAACCUUUGCAGGUUCCUUCUGUGAGAGGAUAAAAAUGGAAACUAUCAUUCUACAUAAGCAAUAGAUGUGCUUUGACUACAGUAAAGCUUUAGCAAUUUCUUAUAUGGGGUGUUAUAGGGGGAGGUGACUUGAGUCUGCAUGACACCAUUAUAAGGAUAGUUCAGAGCUGGUUAGAAAGCUUGCUUCUAAGAGUCAUUGCCAGUAAGUUUCUUGUCAAACUAGAAGGAUGCAUUAAGUAUGGAUUUCACUGAAGCCAGUCUGUGGUACUACACUCUAUCUUCAUUAACAGAUACUGAGCUCCUGAUAUACUACUGAUAAAUUUGGAGAGGAUAGAUAGGUUAGAAGGACUUCUAGCAUACAGGAGACAACCUAGGAAUUCAAAGUUAUCUAGCCAAACUGGAGAAAGUAUCUGAAAAACAGGAGGUAGUUUGAUAAGGACAAGAAAAAGUGCAGACCUGACAUGGCUUUCUAGAACAGCAGAUAUUUAACAAGGCAACACUUGGUAUACAGUUGUUCUGUUGAAUUUAGGUGUCAGUGUGUGUCACAGUGACUUGUUGCUAAGGAAGGGGAAUCAUCAUCCUGGGUCACACCGUGCAGUGGUGACAUAUGUGAAAAUAUGAAGUUAUAUUCCCCCACACUUGGCACCAGUCUGGUAUCAGCACAAAUGAGUCAUUUUGGAUGCUCCAGUUUGAGGAAGUGUUGACCAGCAGCCUGGAGGAAAGCAGCAAGAGGAACUAGUCAUGGUGUAGAAAAGGAUGGAGAGAACUGGGGCUGUUCUGACAGGGAAGAAAAAAGUGAGAUUAGAUACAAUAAGGUCUUCACAAUCAAAACCAGCAGCUGGAAAGGAGAUGGAAAAGUUUAGUAAGUCUGCUGGGAUAGGAAAGUAAAUAAGAUUAAAUUGCAGUGAAGAUAGCUCAAUCCAAAUGCCUCCCAGAAAAGGCAGCAAAGCCCUGGCAGGACCAUACUGGAGGCUAGGGAUCACCACACCAAAGGUUUUCCACGAACACAGCGGGGAAACAACUGCCACAGGCAAUUUAAGCUUAAUUCAGGGCAUCCUGAAUGAGAGAUGUAUGGUGGACCUCCCAAAUGUCACCUAAUGUAACACUGCUAUCUCGCCAAAUGCCUGCAAGGGCAGCAAGGCUGCUGAAGGGUCCGGAACACAAGUCCUGUGAAGAACAGUUGAGGGACUGGAGUUGUUUAGCCUGGAAAAAAAGAGGCUCAGGGGGGACCUCAUCACUCUCCACAGUGCCAGACAAGAGGUUGUAGUCAGGUGGGGGUCAGUCUCUUCUGCCAGGCAUCCAGAGACAGAAUAAGAGGACACAGUCUUAAACUGUGCCAGAGGAAGUUUACUCUGGACAUCAGAAAAAAAUUCUUCACUGAAAGAAACAACGAUUGGGCACUGGAAUGGGCUGCCUAGGGAGGUGGUGGAGUCCCUGUCCCUGGAGAUAUUUAAAAAAAGACUGGAUGUGGCACUCAGUGCCAUGGUUUAGUUGACAAGGUUGUGUUCGGUCAUAGGUUGGACUUGAUGAUCUCAAAGAUCUUUUCCAACCUAGUUAAUUCUGUGAUUUUGUGUAAAGACUCAGAUAGAGGUCACUAAUGUCUUUCUGCUAUCAAAAGGAAGCCGAGUACCAUGGUUUUUACUAUAACAAUGAGGAAUCUCAGGCAUAGAUCCUUGCUUGGACAAAAGUUCAACAUCAAGCACAGAACUGGGCAAGAAGGCCGGUGCACUCUCACACAGAAUAUGCAACCCCAUCACCAGGGAUCUGGAAAAGCAAUUGCCCAGCAUUGGAUAAAAUGAUCAAUAUUUUUUGAAUCAGGGCUUAUUGUUGUGUCAAUGUCAUGUUGCUCAGGGAAAUAUUCAAGAAAAACAUGGAGUUGUGUUUACAGAACAGUUUAGAAAAAGUUUAAUUCCUUUCAUGAUAUGUAGACGUGAGAGAAACUUGGAAGAUUUCAUUGUCUUUCAUUUACAUGUAAAAUUGAUGCACCCCUCUUACUCUUUACUUUUCAGAAGGUAAGGUAUUUGCCUGCAAUACCAGAAGGAAGAGGGCAGCUAAAAUAAGACUUAAUUCUUCUGAUCUAUAGAUGGGAGGGCUGAAGAAGCUUUGGCAUACUCUGAAACAUCUCAGGAGAGCCAAAACAGAAUGCUAUUCCUAAAACAUCCUUACAAAGCAUUUUGAAAGCUCAUGAUGAAAAAUAGCCCAUGGCAAUGACUGUACCAGUACCUGACUGUGCUACAUCAGUGACACUGAACCCAGCAUGUCAAGGGUUACAACUAUCCCACAUCAUAUCUGGACAUUGUGCCCAGUAUUACUCCCACAGUCAAGAAGAACAUCAAAAAACUGGGGGCAGCCAAGCUGGUUUGGGGGUGGAGGGGGUUAAGUGCCUCAAAAUGGUUAUAGGAUUGGAGAACUUGACAUGCCUUGAAAAAAGGCCAGAGGGAUUUGGUUCAUUCAGCCUGGUGAAGUGAGGGCUCAGGGGGAUUCCAUUCCUGCCUUCCAGUGUUAGAUAUUGAGAGAUGAAGGCACUCUCUUCACGAGGAUUCACUGUGAUGGGCAAAUUUUCUCUCCAGGCACAAAACAAACUUUUCCUGUGAGACCAGCUAAAGGCUGGGACAGGUUGUCUGGAGGUGUGGUGCCACUUCCCUUGAUGGAACAUGCAGGGCUUAGUUUGGCAAUGCCCUAGAUCACCUACGGCCCUGCUUCCAACUCACACAGGUCUGACUGCACUUUCUGAUCCUGGUCAGUCUGGGCUUUCCCCCUCAGUUUUUGUUUCUCUCAGCAUAACAAGAUGCUGGAGAGUCCAAGACACACUGUCUCUUACCUCUGUUUUACCUUUCCUCCUAUGAGGGUACAGCUCUGCAGUAGCCGUAGCCAGCAUCAAAAGAGCAUCUUUAGCACCCUGUCAGCUACAUCCAUGCAACAACAAUAUAAACACAGACACAGCAGCUGCAGUACCCAUUUCAGCACACACCUUCCUGCCCUGGACAGACAGCAACACCAGUGCUAGGUCUGCAUUCCUUGGUAAGGACUAGUGAUGGCACACUCCAGCACACCAGGAGCUGCCAGGGCCCAGAUGCUCUCCAGUGAUAAAAACAAUCCAGCAUGGAAAGAGAAAAAUAUAAAUUUCAAAAUUUCUUCACUGGGCCAACUCUGUUCCAGGCAGAGACAGUUGGGGGAAAAAGAAGUGGAAAUGCUCUUUUUUCUAUUCUAUUUUUGUCUCUUCCAGCAUAACUUUUUAGAUCCUCACCUUCUGACUUCAUUCUGGAAUGCUGCUUAAGAAUAAAUUAAGAUGGAUCUAGCCUGAGAUUUUUCUCUCAGAUAAAUAUGAGCUUAGCUAAAAGAAACUAGUUAUGGAAAACUCAUAUGUCAAGAAAAUAAAGAUGUGUUAAAAUUUUUUAAAAAUCCCAGCAGCUUGACUCCUAUUCCUGGUUUUAGUGAACAGAAUAAUCGUAUAAAAUUAACUGAAAAUCAGAUAAACAAAACUUCUGCUUAGGGCUAGACAGCAUGGACAUUUAUCUCCAGAUACAAUUUGAGCGCAUCUUCUUCA